GUCCUCCGCCUUUAUCUCUGAAAAUGAACCUAAUUUUUGAAAACUAAGAUUCUCCCUCAUCCCUUCGUCUUCAUUGAUAAACUCAAGAUAUACAUUUUCUUCAUAAUCUUCUCUAUUCACUAUUCAUAGGCUUUCCAACUGCUUCUGCUAUUCCUUUAUUCCUCAAACCAACGAUUGAUGUCAAAGAAAAAUAUUGUUUAGGGUUUACUUCUAUAGGUAUAGACUUUUUGACAUACAAAUGGAGUCACCACCAUCCGAUGCUAUCUCUACUGCCGGAGCAGCGCACAAUCAUCUAUAUUUCUCUCUCGAUUUAAGGAUAGUUCCAACUUCUGAGUUGUAAUCAUUCCAUCCUGAAGAUAACCCUUAUCCAAGCAUCCUCUUUUUUUCAAAAAAAUGAAAAUGAAUACUUGUGGCUAUGUCUUUCUCCUAGCUAAGUAUGUUUUCUUGAGGUUGAAAGUAAGCUGGAGACCCACAUUGUUGAAAGUAAAAGAUGGAUUGGGCUAAUCAACUAUUCAUGAUCAUAAAAGAUGUCUUGUGGCAUUGGUUGUUUGAUGUUUUUUUAUUACUACUGCUUUUGUAUUUCUAUCUGAAUCUUUGGUUUAUCGCCACCAGGUAUGCACAACCUUUAAUCACCCAUUGGACGGAAAGAAUGAUCAACAAAGUUGUUCCUUGCAACGUUGAUGAUGAGUUGAUAUGAAAGCAACUGAUGUUGUCAUUUGGUGAUCAUGUGUUGGAGGUAAAUUCAACAAAGCAUAUGUUGACUAUGUUUAGAAGUAGCAAGUAUGUUUCCGAUUUAUUUUUAAGGAUACUGUGGUGCCAUAGAACAAGAUCUACUUCUGAAUGGUUAAGGCGGGGUACUAAAGUUAUCUUAGAUGCUCAUCUCUGUAGUUGAUUUUAUGUUAAAUAUUUCCUACUACAACAAAUAGACUUGAGGGCAUUUUCCUUGCUCUAUGGAAUUUAUUUUUUAUAUGAAUAUUAUAAAUAAACAUGUCAGGCCCUUUACAA